rnacentral:rRNA from 1 species
GAAUCUACCCUUAGGAAGAGGAUAACAGCUGGAAGCGGUUGCUAAUACUCUAUACGCCGAGAGGUAAAAGGAUCUAUCCCUUAGGAAGGGCUCGCGUCUGAUUAGCUUGUUGGUAGGGUAAUGGCCUACCAAGGCGACGAUCAGUAGCUGGUUUGAGAGGACGACCAGCCACACUGGGACUGAGACACGGCCCAGACUCNUACGGGAGGCAGCAGUGGGGAAUUUUCCGCAAUGGGCGAAAGCCUGACGGAGCAAUACCGCGUGAGGGAUGACAGCCUGUGGGUUGUAAACCUCUUUUNUCAAGGAAGAAGUUCUGACGGUACUUGAGGAAUAAGCAUCGGCUAACUCUGUGCCAGCAGCCGCGGUAAUACAGAGGAUGCAAGCGUUAUCCGGAAUCACUGGGCAUAAAGCGUCUGUAGGUUGCCUGCCAAGUCUGCUGUUAAAGAUUAGGGCUUAACCCUGGGAAAGCAGUGGAAACUAGUAGGCUUGAGUGUGGUAGAGGUAGAGGGAAUUCCUAGUGUAGCGGUGAAAUGCGUAGAUAUUAGGAAGAACACCAAUGGCGAAAGCACUCUACUGGGCCGCA